rnacentral:lncRNA from 1 species
UUUUGACAGAUUCAACAAAAAAAAAACACACAAAAAACCCUAAAACACAACUCUUUCUCCCAACUAAAAAAAGAAAGGAGCCGCCCCCUCCGUUUUCAAAUUUUUUUUGGAACCUCCAGCUCACCAUUGGAUUCUUCUAAAAAACAGCCAGUGGCCGGCCAUUUUUCUUUGAUUUUUUCUUCCGGAGGCCGGCCAUUUCAAAGCCACCAGCCGUUCCCCCAUUUUCUUCACUUUUUCCAGCCAACAAAACCGGAGCAGCCACCACAGCCGGUUCUCUCCUCCUCUCGCUCUCAGCCAAAAAGCCCCCGGCCCUUGGUGAAAAACGAGAGAAACCCCUGGCUGAAGGGGGUUUUGAUUUUCGGUUUCUUCUCCCUUCAGCCGGGCGGAUCUUCAGCUCCCUUCAACAGAAAACGAGAGAAGCCCCCGCUACUCCCAUUUCCUUAUUCUCCCAUUCAGUAGUGGCUCCUCCCCACAUAGCCGUUCUCCCACCUCCACCAGCACCCACCGAAGCCAACCGCAGCAGCUCAUUUCCCCAGCGGCGCCACCUGCUGCUCCGGCCUCUAGCAGUCGUCGCCAGUACAUGGAAGACGAUCUGAAGAAGAAGAGGAAGGAGCAGAUCGGAGAAGAAAGAAGACAAAAAGCAGAUCUAAAAGGGGCGAAAUGAAGGAUGCAGAUUUGUAAAGGAAAGAAAAAUUAGCACCGAUUGCCAUUUGUGUGUUUUUUUGGUUGUUGCAGGUGACAGGGCCUUCACCGCCGACAGAAAAAUGGACGGGGGAGGAAGGCGCUCCAUACCCCCUGGUUUGGC